rnacentral:rRNA from 1 species
GACGAACGCUGGCGGCGUGCUUAACACAUGCAAGUCGAACGGAAAGGCCCCCACUUUUUUGGUGGGGGUGUUCGAGUGGCGAACGGGUGAGUAACACGUGGGUGAUCUGCUCUGUACUUCGGGAUAAGCUUGGGAAACUGGGUCUAAUACCGGAUAGGACCAUGGGUUAGUGUCUCAUGGUGGAAAAAUUAUUGUUUUGGUUCAGGAACAGCUCGCGGCCUAUCAGCUUGUUGGUUGGGUAAUGGCCUACCCAGGCGUCGACAGGUAGCCCGCCUGGGAGGGUGGACGGACCGGAUGUGACUCAGAGACCGCCCACCCACCGGCGGGAGGCAGCGGGAAGGAUUCGCACACGGUGGACGCAUGCCUGAAGCAGCCCCGCCGCGUGGGGGAUGACGGCCGUCUGGUAGAAACCUCCUUUCGGGAGGGACGAAGCCGCACCUUUUUUGGGUGUGGUGACGGUACCUUUGUUAAAAAGCACCGGCUAACUACGUG